AUGGCUCAGGAUGAACGCUGGCGGCGUGCUUAACACAUGCAAGUCGAACGAGGCACCUUGCAGAAGUUUCGGAUGGAAGCGGAGGCGACCGAGUGGCGGACGGGUGAGUAACGCGUGGGGAACCUGCCCCAUUCCGGGGGAUACCAGUUGGAAACGACUGUUAAUACCGCAUAAGCGCACGGAAGGACAUCCUUUUGUGUGAAAAACUGAGGUGGAAUGGGAUGGCCCCGCGUCUGAUUAGCCAGUUGGCAGGGUAACGGCCUACCAAAGCGACGAUCAGUAGCCGGCCUGAGAGGGCGACCGGCCACAUUGGGACUGAGACACGGCCCAAACUCCUACGGGAGGCAGCAGUGGGGAAUAUUGCACAAUGGGGGGAAACCCUGAUGCAGCGACGCCCGCGUGAGUGAAGAAGUAUUUCGGUAUGUAAAGCUCUAUCAGCAGGGAAGAAGAUGACGGUACCUGCACAAGAAGCCCCGGCUAACUACGUGCCAGCAGCUGC
rnacentral:rRNA from 1 species